UACGGAGGGGGCGAGCGUUGUUCGGAGUUACUGGGCGUAAAGCGCACGUAGGCGGUGCGGUAAGUCAGGGGUUAAAGGCUGCAGCUCAACUGCAGUAAGGCCUUUGAUACUAUCGUGCUAGAGUGUCAGAGAGGAUGGCGGAAUUCCCGGUGUAGCGGUGAAAUACGUAGAUAUCGGGAGGAACACCAGUAGCGAAGGCGGCCAUCUGGCUGAUAACUGACGCUGAGGUGCGAGAGCGUGGGGAGCAAACAGG
rnacentral:rRNA from 1 species